AGCGAAUUAAGAUUUAACUUCAUAUAUAUAUAUGCAGGAAUCAGUGAAGAACUCGAUGGGAAAUCUACUGACGUAUCCGUUUGUGAGGAGUGCAGUGGUGAAUGGAACAUUGACACUAAGAGGAGGUUACUAUGAUUUUGUUAAUGGAGAUUUUGAGCAAUGGAAGAUGUGUACCAAACCAUGCCACCCACAAUAAGGCCCUUUUGCCCCAUGCAUUAUCUAAAAUUUAAUUUAAGCUACUGAGAAUGUCUCCUUUACUACAUCUCCACCAAUAAUUUAUCUGUAGUUUUUUCCCUUUUCGUUUUUUUUAAUGCAGUUGUGUUUUUGUUUUUUCUAAAAUAAUAAUAUAAAAUUGUACUCCUAUGACAUUGUUAAUGCUGCAAUUCAUUUUACUUUCUUUUUACUCGCAAUUCAUGCAAAUAAUUUUAUAAUUUUUUACGUACCAAGUUCAUUGAUUUCAGAUGCAAUAAUAUGUAGAUAAAUUAAUAGUUUUUCUUAAUCAAAUUUUGAAAUAUCAAUUCAAUCUAAUAUAUUAAAAAUAUUAAUUUCACUUUUUCAUCUAUAAGUCAUUCAUAUAAUUUACUCAAAUUAUAUAAUAUAUGUAUGUAAAUGUUUACUCAAAUAUCAUAUUUUACUGUUCUAAAAAAGAAAGUAUUAAAUAUUAACAAUAAAAUUUUGACAUUAAAUUAGUUUAUAAUUAUUUAAUUUAAAUUUAAACUGAAUUAAACUCAAUUUAAAGUUCUUUAUUCUGACCAAGAUCGUGCCUAGCACGUGGACGUUGUUAUUGUUUCCAAUAUACGGUCGCAAUAAAUGUGGUUUCAAGUCAAGACACAUGCUGCUCGGGGUCAAGAUUCUAGUGAUAUAUAAUUUCUUCAAACUUCUUUUUGGUUCAAAAUAUAUAAUUGCUUAUUUAUCCUUAAAUAAAUAAUAAAUCCAAAUUAAUUUAUUUUAAAAAUAUUGAAAAUGGGUCAACUUUUUUCAUUGGAAAACGCAUAAUCAUGCUUAAAUAAAUCAAACUUGUUGUAUAUUUGGAUUAAUGUAAUUUUUUUUCUUAAUCUAAUAAUUAUGUUUAUUAUGAUAUUUGAAGUCAUUGCCUAAUUUUUUUUAGAUUUUAUAUAAAUUUUUAUGUCAUGUUAACGCAAUUUAAGUUCAAAUAUUAAAAUUGAUAAAAAAAUUAGAGAUACUAAAAUAAUUUUAGCUAUCAAGUUUAAUAAUUAAAAAUUAUAGUGACCCUAUAUAUUUUAUAAAAAAUCGGUACAUUUAUCGGUAGAGUUUAAAAAGUAACGCUCCUUAAAGUUGUAGUAUAAAAAAAAAAGCAAGUACGAUCAAAACAAGAUUUGUGAUAAUAUUUUAAAGAAAAAUUUUGAGUAGAUCAAUAUAUAUGUAAAAAAUAUAUAUAAACAAAAUAAGAUAUAUGAUAAAUUUAUAAGUUUGCUUGUACUGUAAAUAUAUCAAAUAUUUUGAUUUCUGCUUGUAUAAUUAAAAUAUUUAGCUGCUAAUAUAUUAAAUACUAACUAUUUUAUAAAGAUUUAAAAAAUUCUUAGUGAUUUCUAAAUUAAUUAAUAAUAUCAACUUAAUUAAUGCUUUUAAAUAAACAUAAAUUAAAUUUCAUGUGAUAGUAAAGUUCGAAUUGCAUUAAGCAUGUUAAUUGUUCGGACCUUACUUUUAUUUGUAUCAUAAAAAAAGAAAAACAUAAAUCAACUAAUGAAGUUCAAAAUCAUAUAUAAAUUCCAAUCUUAUCACAAUUAUUAACGUGAAACAAGAAAUGAAGAAAUGGCAGCACAUGGUUUUGAUACAAGUUUAGAAAAGCGUGUUUCUCGAGGCCAUUAAAUCCAUGUUUUUAACUGCAAUUAGUCAAUGUCAUACCUAUAAUCCAUUGAGUAUGAUGCAGUUUAUCAACGUGUCUAUUAUUCAGUUUUGUGAUUUAUGAUGUUAUUCGUUUUUAGAGAAAAUUAUUCGCAGAUAUACACUUGCAUCUUCAUAAAAAUCUACCUCUUAAUUUUCAUAAAUUUAGAAUUUAACCUCUUUACUUUCUAAUUUUUAAAUUUUAAAUUUAAUUAGUUAAUAUUCUAAACUUAUUUUAAAAUAAAAUAAAAACUCAUUUGGUAGGUAUGUAACUAAAAAAUUAAUAUUAUAAUGAACUUGAAGUUAACAAGAUAAUUUUAACGUAUCAACAGUUAGAUCUAAAUUUUAAAAUCUAAAAAGUAAAUAGACUACAUUCAUAUAAUUAAAAGUACAAUGACUGAAUUUUAAAUUUUUUAUGAAUGCAGGAACUUAUAGCAUAUUUUAACCUUUACAGAGAUGGAGGGAGAGGAGCAGGUAGUGGCCUUGGUCCUUAUAGAGUCCAUUUAGUUUUUAAAAAAUCAUAAGUUAAUAUGAUAAAAUUGCACUUUAAACUCCCAAUUUUUAUAUUCUUUUACUCCCUAAAACAAUUUUCUAGCCUUUAUAGUUAAAGCUUUAUAAAUAAUAUUAUUAGAAAAAAGAAACAUAAAAAAUAUUUUUUGAUUUUAAAAAAAAAAUCAUAUAAACAAAUACAUUUAUUAAUAAAUAUGACUAUAAGUUGGGGAUAAUUUCCAUUUUCAGACCAAACUAUAUCUUUCACUCUCUUUCUACAUAUUCCACAUGCAAUUAUAUCUGGAAGGAAGAGACGUGUUCAUUUGUUCCUUCUCUUACCUAAAUACAUUUUUAUUGUCAUAUUAAACGUGACCAAAUUUUUCAAAGAGAAAACUCAUCAGCCUAUAAAUACCACAAGCCUGAAGCUGCAUCAAACAUACACAUACAAGCUUUUAUAUUAUCCAAUUCAACUUCGAAGGUUAGUUGGUUUAUUAUAGCUAAUACCAAUAUUUCAUUUCUUUUUGAUUCAUUUCUUAUAUGAUAUUUUAUGAUUAUGCAUGCACCUACAUCUAUUUCAUGCAAUAAUAUUGCUCUUAAUUUGGUCCCCUUGAAUUUUUUGAAAAUUUUCAUCAAGUCCUUCGGGAUUUUGGAAAUUUUCAAUUAAGCUCUUCAAAGUUUUGAAUAUUUAAUUAGAUUGUCCAAGAUUUCUUGAAAUUCUCAUUAAGUCCAUUAUAAUUUUUGAAAAUUUUAACUAAACCCUCUAAAACUUAAUGCCAAGAUUCAGAGUUAAUUCUAAUUCGCUAAUUUGGUGAACUUUUUGGUGUGAAACCUGAAAAAGAGAGCAUAUAUACAAAUGGCUGAGAAGCAAUAUUCUGCUGAUGUUGUUGUUGAAGGACUGAGGAAGAUUCUCAUCAGGUAUAUAUAGACUCUCCAUUUCAUUUCACGCACACACACACAUAUAUAGCUCCAUUGUUAUACAUACGUAUACUUAGCUGUGGAUAUAUAUAUAUAUAUAUUGGGUUGCAGUGAGGAAGUAAGGCUGGAUGAGGAGGUUCAAAGCAAAGUUGAGAAGCUUAUCGCCGAGCUCCAAGGCAGAGAGCAUCAUCAUCAUCCCCCUUGUGACCAUGAUGCUCAAAGGCUUGACGAUGGCUUUCACUUCUUCAAGACCAACAUAUUUGAGUACGUAUAUACAUGUUCCCAGCUUACAUCUCUAAUAACUCACCAACGGAUAAUCACACUAAUUUCUGCAUUCUUUUUUGGGCAGCAAAAACCGAGAAUGUUUCGAGAAACUUGCAGAAGCUCAGCAUCCCAAGGUAUACUAUCAAUCUAUCAUAGACAAUGAAAAUGGUAAUUUUCCUAGGUUUUUUUUUCUUCUUUAACAAUGAUUAAAUUGAAUCCAUUAUUUUUUUCAGUUUUUGGUGAUUUCGUGCUCGGAUUCGCGAGUAAGCCCUUCAGUCGUUUUGAAUUUCAAACCAGGAGAAGCCUUCGCCGGCCGCAAUAUUGCUAAUAUGGUUCCUCAAUUUGACCAGGUAAUUAAUUUCCCAUACCCUCCAUUUCAGGGGUAAAAUUGCUAUAAAUGUUCCUGCACGAACAGCCAUAUUAUAUUUUACGGCUUUUCAUUUUUUUUAAAGUAUGCUAGAUUAAAAAAUAAAUUGAUUAUUACUCUUAAAAAUUUCAUCCAUUUUUAUUGUUAAAAAUUAGUGUAGAUGACUAAAAAAUCAGAUAGUUACACAUGGCGUGCCAUGGUAACUCUUGCUAACAUAUAGUUGUCGAUUUUUAACUAUAAAAAUAAAUGAAAUUUUUUACAGAAAUAUUAAUUUGCUCCUUGUUACUAGUUUUCUCAAUAUCUUUCAAUAGAGAGAGAAAAUGUAAUUCAAUUCUUAGCACAAAGUACUCUAUAAUAUUUUUACCAAGUUUUAAGUCAUUAAAAGACCUUAUGGUUUAUUUGCUUAGGAAGCUAAUUACCUGUUUAUAUAUACUUAUUGCACAGUUGAGACACACUGAAAUUGGUUCAGUCAUCGAGUAUGCAGUUAAAGAACUUCAGGUAUGAAAUCUUCAUUUCUCAGUGACAUACCAGUUCAAUUUUUCUUGUCAUGUAAUAAAAAGCAACAAGACGACCACUAUUUAUAUUUCACAGGUGGACAACAUAUUGAUAAUGGGACAUAGCAGUUGUGGUGGCAUAAAGAGGCUUAUGAGUCUUCCAGAUCAAACUCAAACAUAGUAAGCUAUUAUUGCUAAAUAUGAGGAAAAAAAAGCCACCAAUUUUUAAACAAAAUAUAAAAUAUUUUAUUUUUGGAUGAACUGUGCAGUGACUUCAUUGAUGAGUGGGUGAAAAUUGGUUUGCCAGCAAAGAAAAAGGUACUGGAAGAAGCUGGUGACCUGCCUUGCGAACAACAAAUAACGCUUUGCGAAAAGGUAUAACUUGUUAGGCAUGCACCAACUUAGUGUAUAAAAACUAAUAUUUUUAAACUUUGAGGUGGUUUACGUUGAAAGCGAAUUAAGAUUUAUAUAUAUAUAUAUGCAGGAAUCAGUGAAGAACUCGAUGGGAAAUCUACUCACAUAUCCAUUUGUGAGGAGUGCAGUGGUGAAUGGAACAUUGACACUAAGAGGAGGUUACUAUGAUUUUGUUAAUGGAGACUUUGAGCAAUGGAAGAUGUGUACCAAACCAUGCCACCCACAAUAAGGCCCUUUUGCCCCAUGC
rnacentral:lncRNA from 1 species